rnacentral:rRNA from 1 species
GACGAACGCUGGCGGCGUGCCUAAUACAUGCAAGUAGAACGCUGAAGGAGGAGCUUGCUUCUCCGGAUGAGUUGCGAACGGGUGAGUAACGCGUAGGUAACCUGCCUGGUAGCGGGGAUAACUAUUGGAAACAAUAGCUAAUACCGCAUAACAGUAGAUAUUGCAUGAUAUCUGCUUGAAAGGUGCAAUUGCAUCACUACCAGAUGGACCUGCGUUGUAUUAGCUAGUUGGUGAGGUAACGGCUCACCAAGGCGACGAUACAUAGCCGACCUGAGAGGGUGAUCGGCCACACUGGGACUGAGACACGGCCCAGACUCCUACGGGAGGCAGCAGUAGGGAAUCUUCGGCAAUGGACGGAAGUCUGACCGAGCAACGCCGCGUGAGUGAAGAAGGUUUUCGGAUCGUAAAGCUCUGUUGUAAGAGAAGAACGAGUGUGAGAGUGGAAAGUUCACACUGUGACGGUAUCUUACCAGAAAGGGACGGCUAACUACGUG